UACGUAGGGGGCGAGCGUUGUCCGGAUUUAUUGGGCGUAAAGAGCGUGUAGGCGGCCAGGUAGGUCUGCUGUGAAAACUCGAGGCUCAACCUCGAGACGUCGGCGGAAACCAUCUGGCUAGAGUCCGGAAGAGGAGAGUGGAAUUCCUGGUGUAGCGGUGAAAUGCGCAGAUAUCAGGAAGAACACCCGUGGCGAAGGCGGCUCUCUGGGGACGGUACUGACGCUGAGGUGCGAAAGCGUGGGGAGCAAACAGG
rnacentral:rRNA from 1 species